GCUUCGUCUCUCCUCCAAGAGACUUCUUCAGUCUGAGAGUUUCAGGCAAAGACCAGAACCUUCCUGCUCUGAAGGAGAGCAGAGUUGUUUAUUCUCCCUCCUUCUUGAUCUGAAGCUGAUCCUGGGAGCGGAGCUGCCUGACACUUUAUUGGCAGAUGAAGAGUGGUUUUGUGAACAGUUCAAUCCUCUCCUGCGCGCUGAAGCCUCUUGUCUUUGCAGCUCGAACUACUUCAUCCAGUUCUCUGGGCCCAUUUAGCGCCACAAUAAAAGCCUGGAUGAGGGCGGCUGCCCCGGGUUUUACAGGGGCUCAUGUGUGWGGCCUGAGGUGACGCGGGCCGUAAAGCUGAACUGAAGGAGGGUUUUUGCAGUCCUGACUCCAGAACCAGCUCGGCUCUGCUCCGGACCAGGACCACAGCGGGGCCAUCAGCAUCUUGAUUUCAGUUGAAAGGGGAGAAAGUCACAUCGUUUCUGAUGAACUAAAACUCAUCCGAGGACAGAGGGGGUGCUGUGACGUCACCACACACUGUUGUCCCUGCAUUAGACAACAUUGCUGUUCUGGUAUCAGACCAUCUCCUUCUGAAUGUCAGCCCCGAAGCUGCGGACAAGGUGGAAACUCUGGAUAGGUUUUUGGGCUUAGUAAAUGUUGUGUGCACUUGUUGAAUCCUGUUUUAGCUCAGCAUGAUGAUGAACUGAUGAAUUUACACCAUUCUGUUGAACUGAUGUUGAGUGUGAUGUCAGACAGAUAAGUCUAAAUACUUACUUAGUACACAUAGUCUUGUUUGUUAAAGUAGCAUUUUACUUAUUUUGCACAGAUUAUGUUCUGCUAAAGGUAAAAGAUGAUCAUUAACUUGAUCUUUAYGUAAAAUUUCAUGUUCYGUGUCUGUAAUGUCCUUUACCUGAGUAAUCAUGUUUGCUUGUCACCCACACCCUCACAUCUCCUCUGCUCUUGCCACGCCMUCUUGUUUUCCCUCUCAGCAAUCAAGCUCAUGUCUCUACCUGUUCUUAAGCGCCAUGCCUACAGUCACUAGUUGCCACAUCUUUGAAUAGUUCAUGCCAAGUAGAUGUCCAACAGUUUCUCGCGUAUCCCUGUUCUCCUGUUCAUGACCUCAAGCCUGCCUCUUGACUUUCCCUUUUUGACUGAUCCCUGCCUGGUACUGUUCAUGUUUCUGACCAUUGGAUCAUGACCUCAUUUCUGCCCCUUGGACCUUGCCUUUUGGAUUUUGUUUUGGAUUUGUUUUCACCUCUCUGACCACACAGUCCUGACUUCUGCCUGCAGACCAACGAACCAACCCUGCCCCUUUUCUCAGUCACAGUUUCUCACAGCCCAAGAGCCAUGGUCUCAUUACCUGGAUCUGUCAAGUUACUUUUUGUUCUGCUCCUCAAUGUGCUCCAGCCCAAGACCCCACCUUCCCACCAGCUUCCAGUUUUUCAAUAAAACUCUUAAACCUGCUCGGUGUUUGGCUGCUCCUAAACACAAACUAUGUUACUGCAAGAAUCAUUUAAUUUAUUUCCUGUGACUUUGGCUUAAAACGAACAAUAAAGGAGCAUAAUAGCA